GAUCCUGGCUCAGAAUCAAUGCUGGCGGCAUGCCUAACACAUGCAAGUCGAGCGAGAAAGGGUAGCAAUACCUGAGUACAGCGGCGCACGGGUGAGUAACACGUGGAUAACCUGCCUCAAAGUGGGGAAUAACACCGGGAAACCGGUGCUAAUACCGCAUAUUCUGACGAAGUCUGCGGAUUUUGUCAGGAAAGGAGCAAUUCGCUAUGAGAGGGGUCCGCGGCUGAUUAGCUAGUUGGUGAGGUAAUGGCUCACCAAGGCCACGAUCAGUAGCCGGUCUGASAGGACSGUSGGYCACACUGGAACUGAGACACGGKCCASACUCCUACGGGAGGCASCMG
rnacentral:rRNA from 1 species